UGGGAGGAAAGGUAAAUGGGGGUGGGGGUGGGGGUGUGUAACAGGGCAUUUGUUACGCACACGGACUUAGGCAGCCAUUCAAUGCCCCACCGAACGCUCAUUUCCUCCUCUUCUUCUUCCUCCUUCUCCUCUUCUGCUGUUGCGUCACUCUUCUUCAGCCCUUCGCCACCGCGCCCUUCGCGUCUUGCGCCUGUACCAACCUCGGCUUGCUCCCACUGCCCUCAGGUGGAGAAAGAAACCGGCAUGGAAGCGCUGAGGGCCACUUCGAGGCCGGAGCUUCUGUACACGGGGCAGCAGAAGCAGAACCAGGGGGUUUUGAGCGAGGAGGCGGGUUGGUUUCUUGAAAGAGGGAACCUGGUAGGUGAGGGGUUCUCUGUCGACGACCUCCUUAACCUGGGUGAGUUCGCGGAGAACGAGAUGGAAGCGGAGGAGGACGAAGCUGGGAGAGAAUUUGGAACCGACGCGGAAGCAACGCAUAAUGAGACAGAGCGCUCUUCUUCUCCUUCCUCCUCCUCUUCGGGUCUAACCUUCGAGCUUCCACCACCGCCUCCUCUUUCGGAUAUCUGUCUGCCGGCGCAUGAUGCUGAAGAACUGGAGUGGGUUUCCCUCAUCAUCGACGACUCCAUCCCGGAGUUCCCACCACCGUGUUCCGGCGUUGCAUCCCUUUCACCACCGCCGAGCGACGCCCAAAGUGAGAACCGCCAAGCCCGCGGCGCCGUGCCGCAAGGUCAAGGCCCCUCUUCGGGUCCUACCGUUUGCGCUCUCUCCACCGAAGCGGCGGUUCCGGUCAAGGCCAAGCGGAGCAAGCGCUUCCGCAGUGCCGCUGCCGCCUGGUCCAUGUCCGGCCCGCUCCCCUUCUCGGACUCCUCCUCGUCCUCCACCACUACCUCCGCCUCCUCAUGCUCCUCCACGUCUUCCUCCUCCCCUUUCCUCAUAUACGACCCCUCCGCUCUCGCCGUCGACCAAAGCUUCCUCCUUUGCGACCACCCGACGCCGCCCAAGAAGCAGAACCCGAAGAAACGCGGCCGCAAGCCCAAAGCGCCGCCACCAUCUUCCUCCACCGCCUCCGGCGAACGGCGGUGCAGCCACUGCGGUGUCCAGAAGACGCCGCAGUGGCGGGCCGGCCCGCUCGGCGCCAAGACCCUCUGCAACGCCUGCGGCGUCCGCUUCAAAUCCGGCCGUCUCCUCCCAGAGUACCGCCCGGCCUGCAGCCCCACCUUCGUCAGCCACAUGCACUCUAACAGCCACCGCAAGGUGCUGGAGAUGCGCCGGAAGAAGGAGGCGGAGCUUGUCGCGCCCCCCGUCGCCUCCUUCUGAGCCCGGUGGCGCCCGUCCGGCCCAGCAUCCGGUUCGAGUGUACAUGUCGGACUCCCUUUUAGUCGCAGUCUCUCUGUAACAGAUUGGAUUUUGUUCUUCUCUUUUAGGUAGCGGUUUAGCUUCUCUUGGGUCCUAUGCUUCCUUUAGCUUUUGCUAGCUUCAGCUUUAUAACUGGUUCUCGCUUCACUUGUUAGGUUAUAGGGAGAGGCACCUUUCCAUUAUUCACCUCUGUGCUUUCACCGAGACAAAGUGAAUGGGGGGAGUAGAGACAGAACAAAAUUUUAGUGGGUUAUCAUGAACAUGAAGAUGAUUGACCAGACUGCUCUUUUCUGCCCAAAGAGGAAAGUGUUGUGUGCCACCAUAUUGAUCAUAGAGAGCUGAAGUCUGGAUGUUUUCGUUUGGCAUCACUCACCUCCAUCCAAUCCCAACCUAACGCAACGCCGUGGGGGCAACGUCGACGUCAAACGAUGUAUUCAAAGAUCAAACCAGACGGUCUUCUUCUUUUACCCGUUCGUCCUCCGAGGGGUAAACUAACGAACUGCUCAACGCGCACGCAUAGCUGUGAUCACCGGAAAGAGUGGAUGACGCGCUGCUUGCAGUCGGCGCAGGACCGAGCGAGUCAUGUGCCAUGGCGUGCAAGGCAAGCGACGAGUGGGGUCUCGCCAUCCUCCACCUGAAAAGCUUCGUUUGGACAUGGAAGCUUCCUGCACACCAUGUGAUGAUGAUGCAUCUCAAACAACACAGACUGAUUCAAGGAUCUUUCCAUCUCUUUGUCUACUAGUCGACAUUAUAUCGCUGAAGUCAUUUGCAUUCCCUACUCGAUGCAAUCAUCAAGUGACAGUGGACUUUUUAGGGAGGCGUGUUUGAGCGUACACAGAGGCGACGAGGAGAGAAACCAAAGAAGGCUUGUUUUAGGGGUGUGAUUAUGUUGUCGGAGCUGCUUUGCCGAGAAGCCUCGAGAGAGGAUGGUGGUGGUGGGAUCUCGCAUCAGUGGCACCGCGUACAACGAGUAGGGCUGUGAUGAUGGAGCAGCUCUGCUCAUGGACUUGGCGUGGAAUCCAUUUCCGUUUGCUUGGUUGGAUGACAGUGAUUGCGUGAAGUGAGUUGCGUUAGAUCGCAACAUUCCACAUGCCAUGUUGGUUGGGUUGGAUGGAGAUGGAAAGCCCACUCCAUCUCACUCUCAGCCACCUCCAAACAAUUAAGAUGUGAUUCAACUUACUAACAACGGUUAUAUCUUUUUACAAUAAAUAAUGUUUCAAUUGCGUCCUCU